rnacentral:lncRNA from 1 species
CCUCCCAGGAAGAAGUUGGUACUUAGCACAGGGGUUUUGUAUGGUGCUCUUUUCAAGGAAAAAAGAUUGUUUUCCUGUAGUCUAUCUUGAAUGAAGUGGGUCCCGAGAUUGAAGACUAUGAAAAAGAGGCUUUUAACCUCUGGCUAGCACCAUAAGGAAAUCCAGGUUGGAACAACCUGUGGACUAAGAGAAAGGGAAGAGGAUAAAAAGGGAGAGGGAAGAGAACCUGCAGUGAGGAGAUCAGUCUGAAAAAUGGAGGAGAAGGAGAGCUGAGGAGCAAAUAACAAGGUUACAGAAAGACCUGGAGCACCUGCAAGAGCUUUUAAAAGGCUCUAGUAAUUCAGCAACCAUUACUGGCAAAAUCCCUUGUCAAGGUCCCUAUUCCUCAAUUGCCCUUUAAGAUUAAGGGAAAGGAAGCCUUGCAGGCCUCUUUCACUCCCUGGAUGCUAUGGUGAAGGAAUUUCCAAAAGCCAGGGGAAGACCUAUCGAAUUUGCCAAAGAGUUUGAGAUGACUUUCUACUUUUCAGCCUGGACUGUCCGAUCGUUAUCAGCUGGUCCAACUAUUGCAGAUGAAACUGUCUGUACAAGAAGAAAUCUACAGAAGAGGAUACUGGAGCCAUUUUAUCAGGGCCCACUGGAUUCAAGAGACCAAAGACUUUGGGGAAGGGAAUUUGGGGUAGAUGUUUUGUUAUUAAGAUAUCUGCCAAAGACAGACUCCCUGUCUUUCUGGCCCACCGUCAAUGCACCAGUAUUUGGGCAGUGUCCCCAAAUAACAGUUGUCCAUUGAGUUGGGCAGUGGCAUUAGGCCUUGCCCAAAAGGGGUGUGUGUGUCAACAUGGAUUUUUGUUUGCCUCAGUUUACCUUUAUUUUUGAGAAACCCCAGUACUAAGUCCACCAAUUUUGUUUAAAAGUUAAGUACCUGUUUGUUUUGGGAGGCUUCUCUAUUGGGUAAAAGUUUCCUCUCCUCAAGCCCAGCUCCUGAGUUUGACCUUUGCUUUAAUUUGUCACAGCUGACCCUUCCCCAAUGCCAUAGCUAUAGGCGGCAAAGAGGUUUACACACCUGUUUGUGGUUAGCCCCUGUAGGCUUUCCAAAAGGGUAUAAAGAGGCUCUUGGGUCAGUAUCUCUUCAGAGUUGGUCCUAAGAGCUGUCUCUUCUCCCAGGGAUGUGGUUCCCAGAGUCUUUGGUUUGGUAUUUAGCCUUUGACUCUGUGUAAUGACCAAAUGAUAAGCCUAUCUCUUCUUCCUGAUUAAAGAAUGGGUUUUCUGACUACUUGGGAGUUCUGUAUUUAGUUCCAAGUUAUCAGUACAUCCCUCUCUGAUCCACACUGCCUGACUAUUGCUAUAAGAAAGAGAGGUUAUAAGCAUGAAAGGAAGGUUUGCAAGAGAGUGGCAUAAGACCAGCAGGAAAGGAUUCUGGAAUCUUGGGGGAAAAAAAGGACUUGAAUGGAAAACUCAGCAGCAGAGUCUUACUUAGAACACUGUGCAACCUUGGGCAAAUAAUUUAUUUUCGCACUUCCCUAGGCAACUCUCUAAAUUUCUAAGGAAGUACCACUUUGCCUUGAUGGAGUCCCUUAUGUGGAUGAAAUCAAAGGUCCUGCCCAAGGAAAAAGAAAAGAAAAAUGUAUUUUAGAGAGAAUAUGUACACAGUGAAAAAAUAGUUUCAAGAGAAGAAAACACUAAAAUCUGAGGGUGUCAAGAAAGGCUUGAUAUAAGAAAUGGUACCUCUGAUGAGCCUUAGAGGGAUGCUAAGAAGCAGAGGUAAACAGAAAUUAUACGCCCAAUGUUAGGAAGAUAAAAUAAAACAACUUCCAUUUAGUCUUUCCGUGCCUCA